GACGAACGCUGGCGGCGUGCUUAACACAUGCAAGUCGAACGGUGAAGGGGUCUGCUUUUGUGGGCCCUGGAUGAGUGGCGAACGGGUGAGUAACACGUGAGUAACCUGCCCCCUUCUUCUGGAUAACCGCAUGAAAGUGUGGCUAAUACGGGAUAUUCUGGGUCUGUCGCAUGAUGGGUCUGGGAAAGAUUGCGCCUUUGGGUGUUUUUGGUGGGGGAUGGGCUCGCGGCCUAUCAGCUUGUUGGUGGGGUGAUGGCCUACCAAGGCGGUGACGGGUAGCCGGCCUGAGAGGGUGGACGGUCACACUGGGACUGAGACACGGCCCAGACUCCUACGGGAGGCAGCAGUGGGGAAUAUUGCACAAUGGGCGCAAGCCUGAUGCAGCGACGCCGCGUGAGGGAUGGAGGCCUUCGGGUUGUAAACCUCUUUAGCCAGUGAAGCAGGCCUGCUCCUUGUGGGUGGGUUGACGGUAGCUGGAUAAGAAGCGCCGGCUAACUACGUG
rnacentral:rRNA from 1 species